UUUUUAGAAAUAAAUCCUAGAGCAGGUUUUAUAUUUUACGUUCAUGUUGAAAAUCAGUUAGAUUUAUGAUGGAACAUGUUUAUGUAAAAUUAAAUGCGUGCUGGCCGAGAGACCUCAGUUUAUUUUUCUAAAUGAGAAACAUCUCCAACUCACCUUCUCUCUCUAGGGUGCCUGUGUGAUACCAGAUGAUGCUCAAGGCCCCCUGAGUCUCUUCCCCAAUUUUAAGCCUGUCCCCAGCCCAGAGGUGUUGACGCCCUUUGCCAUCAUCUACCUUCUCAGCCUGUGGACGCACUUGGCUCACUCUUGCGUUCUGAGGACCUCCAUGGUGCCUGAUACACAGUGAAACUAACUUAAGAUGAGAUCAUCCUGGAUUAGGGUGGGUCCUAAAUACAACGACAGAUGUCCUUCUAAAAGACAGAAGAGGAGACACAGAGGAUGAGGCCACAUGGAGACGGAGGCAGAGACUGGAGUGAUGCGGCCACAAGCCCAGGGAUGCCUGGAGCCCCCAGGAGCUGGGAGAGGCAGGAAGGACCCUCCCCUAGAGCCUCUAGAGAAGGCUAAAUGAAAUUGUAAUGAAUUCAACUAUUGUCCACCAGAAAGAUAUGUCCACACCCUCACCCCCAGAACUUGUGAAUGGGAGCUUACUUUGAAAUAAGAUCCUUGCAGAUGCAAGUAGUAAAAUAUUUUAAGAUGAGAUCAUCCUGCAUUAGAUGGACCAUGAAUCCAAUCAUUGCUGUCUCUAUAACAGACAGAGGAGGAGAACAGACACAGAGGGUAAGGCCGCAUGGAGAUGGAGGCAGAGACUGGAGUGAUGUGGCCACAAGCACAGGGACACCUGGAGCCCCCAGGAGCUGGGAGAGGCAGGAAGGACCCUCCCUGAGAGCCUCUGGAGGGAACUGGAUACAAGUGAAGUAGAUUGAACUGUGAUCCCCCAAAAAGGAACCCCAGGAAGCUCCUGAAGCAAUCCGCCCUUCCAUCUCUGUGUCUGGCAGACACUACUGUGUGAUUCCAGCGGGACAGCACCCACCGCACUCACCUUCAUUGCUCAGGGGGAAGGAACAGUCAGUCAGCUGUGAGUCACCAGAAGCCAAGAGCUUUCUCAAUUUAGUUGUAUCAGCUCUUCCCGGCAGCGUGUGGAUUUCCUGCAAAAGUGGCCUCAUGAUUUACUUAGGGAAACAGCUCCAAGGAUGGGAGACGGCUGCUCUCCACAAUUUCCCUCCUGCAGCUAGGAAGGAAGUCAGGACUGUUCUGUGGGCUACUCGGGCGGCUGAGGCAGGAGAAUGGCUUGAACCCGGGAGGCAGAGGUUGCAGUGAGCCAGGAUGGCGCCACCGUACUCCAGCCUGGGCAACAAGAGGGAAACUCCACCUCAAAAAAAAAAAAGGCUACUAGGAAACAGCCCUUAAUCCGAAGUGGAAUCUAACAUCUGGGAAAUCAGCCGUAUUUGCCUGUGAGAAAGAAAGGGAGAAGCCAUAUUUACAUCAGCCCAUGGUCCAAGGAAUUCGACAGCGAAGACCCAAGAUACUUCCAAGAGAAAGGCACGGUCCAUUGAAGAUUCUUUACAACCUCGGAAAGGUAAAGAGAGUCUUUAUUUAUUGAAGAUGAAGAUCCCUGAGUAUUAUUUUUUAUGGCACCUCCGUGGGCUAUGAUGGAUGACCCUGAGGGUCUCUCCAGCCCUGAAGUGAGACGGAUUUUUCUACUGAACCACGGCAACACUGAAUAGGAGGUUGUCUCUUACCUCUGUCUGUUGAUUUUCACUGUUUCCUUUCUCUUUGUGUUUUAAAAUUUUUAUCUUUUGUGGGUACAUGGUAGGUGUAUAUAUUUAUGUAUAUGUUGUGUGGAUAUAUAGUAGGUGUAUAUAUUUAGGGUGCGUGAGAUUUUAUUAUUAUUAUUAUUAUGCUUUAAGUUCUGGGGUACAUGGGCAAAACGUGCAGGUUUGUUACACAGGUAUACAUGUGCCAUGGUGGUUUGCUGCACCCAUCAACCUGUCAUCUACAUUAGGUAUUUCUCCUAAUGCUCUCCCUCCCCUAUCCCCCCACCCCCCGGCAGGCCCUGGUGUGUGAUGUUCCCCUCCCUGUGUCCAUGUGUUCUCAUUGUUCAACUCCCAUUUUUCACACCCAGACUGGGUGUGUCUGCGAGGGUGUUUUGGGAAGAGAUGAGCAUUUCAAUAGGUAGACUGAGUAAAGACCACCCUCACCAAUGGGGAUGGGUACUGUCCUCUCCACUGAGGGAUUUGCAGAGAAUGAAAAUGCAGAUGAAGGGAGACUAUAUUCUCUUUUCCUUACCUGGAACCGGGACCUCCAGCUUCUCAUGCUCUUGGACAUUGGUGCUCCCAGUGUUUGGGCCUUGACCUCCGUUUUUGUAUACAUCAGAUAUCACACACAGUCAACAUGGCAUAAUUCAUGUUCAAUGCACCGUGCAGAGAGGAUGUUUUGAUACAAGCAUGCAAUGCUUCAUAAUCACAUCAUGGAGAAUGGAGCUUGCAUGCCCUCAAGCAUUUAUCCUUUGUGUUACAAACAAUCCAAUUAUACUCUAAUAUGAUUUGGCUGUGUCCCUA